rnacentral:rRNA from 1 species
CGACGGUGAGUAAUACAUCGGAACGUGUCUUCUAGUGGGGGAUAACUGCCCGAAAGGGCAGCUAAUACCGCAUGAGACCUGAGGGUGAAAGCGGGGGAUCGUAAGACCUCGCGCUGGAAGAGCGGCCGAUGUCCGAUUAGCUAGUUGGUGAGGUAAAGGCUCACCAAGGCGACGAUCGGUAGCUGGUCUGAGAGGACGACCAGCCACACUGGGACUGAGACACGGCCCAG